rnacentral:rRNA from 1 species
AACGUAGGACGCAAGCGUUAUCCGGAGUUACUGGGCGUAAAGCGUGCGCAGGCGGUGAGCUGUGUCCGAUGUGAAAGCCCCGGGCUUAACCUGGGAAUGGCAUUGGAAACUGGCUCGCUGGAGUGUGGCAGAGGGGGGUGGAAUUCCGCGUGUAGCAGUGAAAUGCGUAGAGAUGCGGAGGAACACCGAUGGCGAAGGCAGCCCCCUGGGCUAACACUGACGCUCAGGCACGAAAGCGUGGGGAGCAAACAGG